rnacentral:rRNA from 1 species
AUUGAACGCUGGCGGCAUGCCUUACACAUGCAAGUCGAACGGCAGCACGGGGCAACCUGGUGGCGAGUGGCGAACGGGUGAGUAAUGCAUCGGAACGUACCCGGAAGUGGGGGAUAACGUAGCGAAAGUUACGCCAAUACCGCAUAUUCUGUGCGCAGGAAAGAGGGGGAUCUUCGGACCUCUUGCUUUCGGAGCGGCCGAUGUCAGAUUAGCUAGUUGGUGAGGUAAAGGCUCACCAAGGCGACGAUCUGUAGCGGGUCUGAGAGGAUGAUCCGCCACACUGGGACUGAGACACGGCCCAGACUCCUACGGGAGGCAGCAGUGGGGAAUUUUGGACAAUGGGCGCAAGCCUGAUCCAGCCAUGCCGCGUGAGUGAAGAAGGCCUUCGGGUUGUAAAGCUCUUUCGGCCGGGAAGAAAUCGCGUGAGUUAAUACCUUGCGUGGAUGACGGUACCGGAAUAAGAAGCACCGGCUAACUACGUGCCAGCCGCCGCGGUAAUAC